rnacentral:rRNA from 1 species
UACGUAGGUGGCGAGCGUUGUCCGGAAUGACUGGGCGUAAAGGGCGUGUAGGUGGACUGAUCAGUCGGAUGGGAAAGCCCCAGGCUUAACCUGGGAACCGCAUCCGAUACGGUCAGUCUUGAGUGCGGGAGAGGGCAGUGGAAUUCCCAGUGUAGCGGUGAAAUGCGUAGAGAUUGGGAGGAACACCAGUGGCGAAGGCGGCUGCCUGGACCGUAACUGACACUGAGGCGCGAAAGCGUGGGGAGCAAACAGG